rnacentral:rRNA from 1 species
GUCUACCUCCAGCGCACCCUGAAUGAACCCGAUCUCAUCUGAUCUUGGCAGCUAAGCAGAGUCGAGUCUGGUCAGUACUUGGAUGGGAGAAACUGAGACCCAGAAAGAGAAAGAAA